rnacentral:rRNA from 1 species
GGGAAACCGGAGCUAAUACCAGAUAACAUGUUGAACCGCAUGGUUCAACAGUGAAAGACGGUCUUGCUGUCACUUAUAGAUGGAUCCGCGCCGCAUUAGCUAGUUGGUAAGGUAACGGCUUACCAAGGCAACGAUGCGUAGCCGACCUGAGAGGGUGAUCGGCCACACUGGAACUGAGACACGGCCCAG